CACAGGCGUGGCUCCACUAAUUAGGUGCCUGGACUGGACCCUGGAGAAGACGCACAUGUAAGGAAACAGGAUUGGACUGCAACAACAGCCCAUCUUAACUAACUUCUCUUUCCUGUGAAAAGGCCAGUUAUUACCAUCUUUAAUACCACCUCCAGUAUUAAAACAGGUGUUGGAAUUUCCUAACAUCCAUUCCAUUCCCAGUGACGAGAGUCACCAGAUACCAAAAGCUUAAGGUUUAUAUUUAGCAAGCUCUGUAGCGCCAAGA